rnacentral:lncRNA from 1 species
CAGUAAACAUUUCAUUUAUAUGUUAGAUAGCUACAAUCAGGUAUUGAGGCAUGGGCAGGACUCGUUAAAGAGAAAAGAUGARGAAGAAAAAUGAAAAAAAAGCUAGAAAGGAGAUUUUAGAAAAUACGUAAUAGCUAUGCCGUUACAAUGUUAUUCAUUAAUUAACAUAUGGCAGUUCUUUGACAUGUGAGCAGGAUUGRGGCAUCUUUGUGUUGUGUGCUAUAGAAGCACAAAUAUUCCCAUGAUUUCUGCUUCAAGGAGCUUGGUCACAUUUUCAGUACCAUCUGCACUGGUACUCUGCUUACCAGUAAGUCUUAUUUACUGAAUCUGCAUCUUUACUUUUUCUAGGUUCUAGACAAGACAAUUUUUUAGCCUCUGCUCCUCAAAAACAGGAGGUGGAACCAUAAAUCUCAAAGGACAUGUGGCAAGCAAGAGAGGCACAGCAGAAACAAAUUCCUGUGAGAACAAAUGCAUCAUGCCACUGAAACAGGCUUUCCAGCUGCAUGUUCCCAGCUGUGACCAACUGAAGGGAGAGAAUUACCAAAUAAGAACAGGCUGAACAAGACAAUAAUCUCCUCCAAUCAAAGCCUGCCAGGUAGGAUAAUUCAGAAACAUUGUUUACAUUACCAAUUUACCUGAACAAAAUUGCUACUCUGAACACCUGAAYUGGGACUUAAAAUACAUGUUUUGAUUCUAAUUUGAAUGGCUCGUGAAUUUAACUCCUUCCUUUCAUUCUGUGGCUUGUGUCCAUCUCUGUUCCUGUGAUUUAGACCUAUUUGACUGGAUUGCUUUCUAAAGAGAGUUCUGAUCUAUGUGCUGUUAUUCGUCAGUUAAAAAUGGCUCCAGGACGUGUUUCCUAAAAGCUUUAAGUGUUGGUUUCCACAUGUCUAUAAAUCAUUCUGAGGAUUAGGGUAAACUCAGUGUUGUAUUCAGAAAUCUCUGAUAUCGAUGCASCCGGUAUUUUAAUACCUGAAAGCUGUGGUUUCCCGUCAUGGGAGAAGAAAUGUGAAGUUUGUCCAUUGGAAUCUGUGCA